UACGUAGGGAGCAAGCGUUGUCCGGAAUCAUUGGGCGUAAAGCGCGCGUAGGCGGCCUCAUAAGUCCGUUGUGAAAGUCAAAGGCUCAACCUUUGAAAGCCGAUGGAUACUGUGAGGCUAGAGUCCGGAAGAGGCGAGUGGAAUUCCUGGUGUAGCGGUGGAAUGCGCAGAUAUCAGGAGGAACACCGGUGGCGAAGGCGGUUCUCUGGGCCUGUACUGACGCUGAGGAACGAAAGCGUGGGGAGCGAACAGG
rnacentral:rRNA from 1 species